UUGCUAUAGCAGUUCACAUUAUAAGCUUAGAAGGAUUCAGGAAAAAUUAACAAGGCCCUUGUGCAAGAAUGAUACACAUAUUUUUGAACUGUUUUAUUAUUUU
ensembl:snRNA U6 U6 spliceosomal RNA